AUUGAACGCUGGCGGCAUGCCUUACACAUGCAAGUCGAACGGCAGCACGGGAGCAAUCCUGGUGGCGAGUGGCGAACGGGUGAGUAAUAUAUCGGAACGUGCCCAGUUGUGGGGGAUAGCCCGGCGAAAGCCGGAUUAAUACCGCAUACGACCUACGGGUGAAAGCGGGGGAUCGCAAGACCUCGCGCAAUUGGAGCGGCCGAUAUCAGAUUAGCUAGUUGGUGGGGUAAAAGCUCACCAAGGCGACGAUCUGUAGCUGGUCUGAGAGGACGACCAGCCACACUGGGACUGAGACACGGCCCAGACUCCUACGGGAGGCAGCAGUGGGGAAUUUUGGACAAUGGGCGCAAGCCUGAUCCAGCCAUGCCGCGUGUGGGAAAGAAGGCCUUCGGGUUGUAAACCACUUUUGACAGGGAAGAAAGCGGUCCUUACUAAUAUUAGGGGCUAAUGACGGUACCUGAAGAAUAAGCACCGGCUAACUACGUGCCAGCAGCCGCGGUAAUACGUAGGGUGCAAGCGUUAAUCGGAAUUACUGGGCGUAAAGCGUGCGCAGGCGGCUAUGCAAAGACAGAUGUGAAAUCCCCGGGGCUCAACCUGGGAACUGCAUUGUGACUGCAUGGCUAGAGUACGGUAGAGGGGGAUGGAAUUCCGCGUGUAGCGGUGAAAAUGCGUAGAUAUGCGGAGGAACACCGAUGGCGAAGGCAAUCCCUGGACCUGUACUGACGCUCAUGCACGAAAAGCGUGGGGGAGCAAAA
rnacentral:rRNA from 1 species